CCAGACCUUGACAUCCUUCUGAAUAUACCGUAAUGGGUAUAGGCCUUCGGGACAGAAGAGACAGGUGGUGCAUGGUUGUCGUCAGCUCGUGUCGUGAGAUGUUGGGUCAAGUCCCGCAACGAGCGCAACCCUUGUCACUAGUAGCCAGCAGUAAGAUGGGCACUCUAGUGAGACUGCCGGGGAUAACCCGGAGGAAGGUGGGGA
rnacentral:rRNA from 1 species